rnacentral:rRNA from 1 species
UACAGAGGUGGCAAGCGUUGUUCGGAUUUAUUGGGCGUAAAGGGUCCGUAGGCGGUUUGAAAAGUCAGAUGUGAAAUCCCGCAGCUCAACUGUGGAACUGCAUUUGAAACUUUCAGACUAGAGUAUGAGAGGGGUUAAGGGAAUUCCCGGUGUAAGGGUGAAAUCUGCAGAGAUCGGGAGGAACACCAGUCGCGAAGGCGCUUAACUGGCUCAUUACUGACGCUCAGGGACGAAAGCUAGGGGAGCAAACGGG